AUGGCAACCAUGGUGACCAUGAGUUCCUUCGCCGGUGCGGCCGUCCUGCCGCGCGGCUCGGUUGGUCGCUUCGGCGCCCUGUCUCUGCCAGCGCUGGGCCGAUGCGCCCUCGUCGUCAGGGCACAGACCGAGGGCCCCAGCGCACCACCGCCAAACAAACCCAAAGCGAACACCUCGAUAUGGGGCGCGCUGGCAUUCAGUGGCCCUGCGCCGGAGCGCAUCAACGGGCGCCUUGCCAUGGUAGGCUUCGUGACGGCGCUUGCGGUGGAGGCAGGGCGCGGCGACGGGCUCCUCUCGCAGCUCGGCAGUGGCACCGGGCAGGCGUGGUUCGCCUACUCCGUGGCAGUGCUAACCGUGGCGUCGCUGGUGCCACUACUCCAGGGCGAGAGCGCCGAGGGCAGAGCCGGCGCCAUCAUGAACGCCAACGCGGAGCUCUGGAACGGCCGCUUCGCCAUGCUCGGACUCGUCGCACUCGCGGCCACCGAGAUCAUCACCGGCGCGCCUUUUAUCAACGUGUAA
rnacentral:rRNA from 1 species